rfam:Pseudogymnoascus pannorum VKM F-4516 (FW-969) contig_14, whole genome shotgun sequence.
AGGGAUAUGCCGUAAAUGGUUUUGCGUUUGGAUUGCAAAUCUAAAAUAUGGGGUUCGAUUCCUCCAUAUCUCU